AUUGAACGCUGGCGGCAGGCCUAACACAUGCAAGUCGAACGAGUGGCGGACGGGUGAGUAAUGUCUGGGAAACUGCCUGAUGGAGGGGGAUAACUACUGGCAACGGUAGCUAAUACCGCAUACCAUCAGAUGUGCCCCGAUGGGAUUAGCUAGUAGGUGGGGUAACUGCUCACCUAGGCGACGAUCCCUAGCUGGUCUGAGAGGAUGACCAGCCACACUGGAACUGAGACACGGUCCAUACGCUUACGGGAGGCAGCAGUGGGGAAUAUUGUACAAUGGGCGAAAGCCUGAUGCAGCCAUGCCGCGUGUAUGAAGAAGGCCUGCGGGUUGUAAAGUACUUUAAGCGGGGAGGCGUUACCCGCAGAAGAAGCACCGGCUAACUCCGUGCCAGCAGCCGCGGGAAUAC
rnacentral:rRNA from 1 species